UUGACUGUAGGUUGACAUGCCGUUGUUUGGUCGAUUUAAAAAUUUCGAAAUGAUAUAGUUUUUUUCAAGAUUUACAGUAAUGAAGUUAGAAGAUAUGUACAUCUUCUAACUUGGAAAUGAUAUCUUUGUAGAUUAGUGAACAACUCAUAUGUCUUUUCGACCUGGUUGGAGAAUCAUAUCUUAUUUUUAAACCAAUAGGAAUAGGAAAUGAGUUGUUUCGACCUUCAUUA
rnacentral:lncRNA from 1 species